GGUUGGGGUGCUUUCCGAGGUUGGGAGGCUGAGAAAUACCCACAGACCUGAUCCAGAUAAUACUGGCGUAGGGAACCG
rnacentral:ncRNA from 1 species